UACGAAGGGGGCUAGCGUUGCUCGGAAUGACUGGGCGUAAAGGGCGCGUAGGCGGAUGGCACAGUCAGAUGUGAAAUUCCCGGGCUUAACCUGGGGGCUGCAUUUGAUACGUGUGAUCUAGAGUGAGGAAGAGGGUCGUGGAAUUCCCAGUGUAGAGGUGAAAUUCGUAGAUAUUGGGAAGAACACCGGUGGCGAAGGCGGCUAUCUGGACCGUAACUGACGCUGAGGCGCGAAAGCGUGGGGAGCAAACAGG
rnacentral:rRNA from 1 species